rnacentral:rRNA from 1 species
UAAUUAAGCGGAGGAAAAGAAACUAACCAGGAUUGACAAAGUAAGGGCGACUGAACUGUCAGAAGCUCACCAUGUGAAUCUGCGUGUGCACCUGUGCACGCCGAGUUGUGGUCUGGAGGUAUUUGUGCUAAUGUGCUGGGCAAAGUCCCUUGGAACAGGGCAGCAUAGAGGGUGAAACUCCCGUUUGCCUGGUGCUCGGAACAAUUGCCAAAGAGUCGAGUUGUUUGGGAUUGCAGCUCAAAGUGGGUGGUAAAUUCCAUCUCAAGCUAAAUACUGGUGGGAAACCGAUAGCGCACAAGUACCGUGAGGGAAAGAUGCAAAGAACUUUGAAAAGAGAGUUAAAGAGUACCUGAAAUUGCUGAAAAGGAAGCGAAGGAAACUAGUGCUAAACUGCACCAUACUUCCCUCCUCGCUUGCGGGUAGGGCGCUGUGGUCAGUGCUGUUCCUUUUGGUUCAGGUGAGCGGAAGAACAGCUUCGAUCGUGUGUCGAAACAUGUCGCGUUUGUCUGGACUGACAGGAACAAAAUGGUUUUCUUUGCCCCGUCUAGAAACACGGACCAAGGAGUCUAACAUAUGUGCGAGUGCAGGAGUGUCAAUCUCCCGUGCAAAAUGAAAGUGACAGUGGCUGGAAUAUAUUGCACAGUCCGCCGGCCUCAAUCCCUCGGGAGAACGGUCUGAGUGUGAGCAUACAUGUUGGGACCCGAAAGAUGGUGAACUAUGCUUGAGUAGGGUGAAGCCAGGGGAAACUCUGGUGGAGGCUCGUAGCGAUUCUGACGUGCAAAUCGAUCGUCAAACUUGAGUAUAGGGGCGAAAGACUAAUCGAACUAUCUAGUAGCUGGUUCCCUCCGAAAUUUCCCUUAGGAUAGCUGCGAUCGGCUUUUAACUAAUUUUGUUAGGUAAA